rnacentral:lncRNA from 1 species
CCAGUCCCAUGGAGCUCCUGCACACCAGCUUCACUGGCCUUCAAUGCCAAAUGCUCCUGGUGCUCUUUCUUCCAAUGCUAGAUCCCCACACGUGGGAGUUUGAUGUGGGGCUCAGAACUCUCACUCCUGUAGGUGAGUCUCUGUGAUCCACUUCCUUUCCAGUCUGUGGAGCUUCCCUCCUGGGAUGUAUAGGGUUGCUUAUAUUAACUAAUCACCCCUCCCACCUCUUGAUGUGGCCUCCUCUUUGUCUUCUGGAAUAGGAUAUCUCUUUGAAGGUUUCUGGUCCGUUUGGUUGAAGAUUGCUCAGCAUCUAAAAAAUUUUUUUUGUUUUUAGGAGAAAAGUUUAGGUCUAGUCCUUCUAUUCUGCCCUCUUAAUCUCAUCUCUCAUUUGUUUUUCUUUUUCAGCCACACCCAUGAUAUAUGGCCGCAGGAACUCCUCCGUUCUCAUUUUCUAUAUUCUGCCUCAGUCCUAGAAUCAUCCAUUUCUCUAAGAGCCCUGAUUUCUUUAAUUGGAGAAUGGAUUUGUGUUCAUUGUACUGAAUAUCUUUACUUCUACGCCCUCUCAGUGGGUAUAGAUGCAUAUGUACUCAUUUCACUGUUUCCUUUAUUUAUUUUUUCUAUUUAGGGCUGUACCUGUGGCAUUUGGAAGUUCCCAGGCUAGGGGAAGAAUCAUAGCUGCAGCUGCCAGUCUACACCACAGCCAUAGCAACACAGGAUCCAAACCAUAUCUCUGACCUACACUGCAACUCAUGGCAAUGCUGGAUUAUUAGCCCACUGAACAGGGGCCAGGGAUCAAACCCUCAACCUCAUGGAUUCUAGUCAGGUUCAUUACUGAUGAGCUACAAUGAGAACACACUGCUUACUUUAUUAUUGAUUUUUUCUUGCUCAUCUGUGUAUGCUUUCACCUUUUCUUUCAGUUUGAUGCAUAUCUUGUUUUCUCCUGACUUCAAAAUUUGGCCCUAUUUCUUGGUUAUCCUUUUAUUGAAUUUCCUCCUUGAUUCAGUGACUAGAAUGUAAUAAGUAAUGUGUUCAGCUUCACCCAGCUCUUGAAAUUGCUGCUCCUCUGCUCUGUCCUUGCAGACUACAUGUUCUCCCCAGGACUUACUGGUGACACCAGAUGCUAUAGAACAUACAGACAGGUCUAUUUCAGGACUCUGUUUUGAGAAGCUUAUACUAUAAUUACAUGACUCUGUUUGAAAAAUAUGUAUUCUUUCAGAAUAUCCAUUUUCAAUAAGCAGCAAAGUGAUAAAGUAAAUAUUUUGUGCCAGAUAGCUGCAUCAGUUUGUAAGCAUUUCUAGAAUUCUCCUCUGGAAAGAUAAGACAUUCUCUGAAAAUUAUGGUCUUAUUGGAAAGGAGGUGAAAACAUGUAUAAAGUAGACCACCUCAGAAUUAGAAGUGGAUAUAAAAAUUUUCUGAUGACUCUAUUUUUUCAAUGGAUAUAUUUGACUUAUGACAUUGUGUAAAUUUAUUUAUUUAUUUAUUUAUUUAUUUAUUUAUUUAUUUAUCUUUUCUAGGGCUGCACCUACAGCAUAUGGAGGUUCCCAGGUUAGGGGUCUAAUCAGAGCUGUAGCUGCUGGCCUAUGCCAGAGCCACAGCAACUAGGGAUCUGAGCUGCAUCUGCAAUCCACACCACAGCUCACAGCAAUGCUGGAUCCCUAACCCACUGAGCGAGGCCAGGGAUCAAACCCGAAACCUCGUGGUUUCUAGUCGGGUUCAUUAACCACUGAGUUAUGAUGGGAACUCCGAAAUUGUGUAAAUUUAAAGUAUAUAUUUUAAUUUAUUUUUUAUUCCUUCCUCCUUUUUUUUUUUUUUUUCCUGCUACUAGUAAGGACAAGAAUUUAUGAAAGAUUUGAGGGGAAUUUAAAAACCAAGCCACGGUAAACAAUGGUAAGGAAGAAAGUGAGAUUUGUUCCCUGAGAAACUGGAUAGGAGCUAAACCCUUGCACAAUGAGGAGAGAAAUGAAUGCCCAUACACUUCUUGUAAGAUGCAAGCAGAUAUUUUAAGACUGGAUAUAGCCUCAGGUCCUUAGGCUAGGCAUCAGCAGAGCAUAUGUCACAGGGUUCUGAUUGAAGAAAAGAUUCAGGUUCGCUUAACUAUAUAGGUCUGGAAGAUAAAACCAGAAUUAGAUCAAGCUGAACAAUAUGAAGUUUAGUGAGGAAAUUAUUCCCUUAAAUUUAUCCAUUUAAAUAAUAAUAAACAUUUACCUUAAGUACAAAUUAGUAAACAUUAGUAUUUAUUUAUAUUGAUAUGAUACAUUUUCUCAAACAUUUUUUUUCCAGAAAAAAAUAUAACCAGAACAUAGUCUCUACUGUCAUUUAUGCUUCGUGGUGAAGGCUAGUUUAUUUCAGGCAUGCAUUAGAUCACUCUGUCGUCAGUCACUUACUGAACACUAAUGAGCAAACAUUAUUCAAAGUCUUGAGACGUUUUAAGUCAUCUGUGGUCUUUGUCAAAACCAUUUUUUGAUUCCAAAUUUUGGGAGUCUAAAGGAGACCACUAUGUAAGGAAGGAAUAAAGUGUUAUAGGUGCUGUGAUAGAAGUGAGUGUUGAAGUUCACAGUUAAGGAAGAGACAAAAGAUAAAUCACUUCUACUUCAGCAGCUCCUCUAUUGCAGGCACAGGGCUUGCAAAAGAAACCAAAGCUAUUCUAACAAGUCCUAUAAACUGAAACCCAUAAAAACAUGGGAAAAGGAUGCAGGAGUGCUUUCUCCCCUUUGCACUCAUUCUCAUUCUCCCUCCUCCCCUCUCAUUCUGCUUCUUACCCUCAGAGCAGAGGUUGGGGCUUCAAGUUUUGAAGUAUUAACACAAUUGAGCACUUUAUAAAUUUUCCUCAAGGGAAUGUUUUUAGAUUUCAUGACCAGGGAAAACAAACUGAUUAGGACUUUAGGAAUUUUUUUUUUUUUUAAUUUUUGUCUUUUUCUAGGGCUGCACCCACAUCAUAUGGACGUUCCCAGGAUAUGGGUCUAAUCAGAGCUGUAGCCGCCGGCCUACUCCAGAGCCACAGCCACUAGGGGUCUAAGCCUCAUCUGUGACCUACACCACAGCUCAUAGUAACGCUGGAUCCUUAAACCACUGAACGAGGCUGGGAUCGAACCUGCAGCCUCAUGGUUCCUAUUCAGAUUCGUUAACCACUGAGCCACGGCAGGAACUCCGAUUUUAGGAUUUAACAUGGGUAAGGUGUGAAGGAAAGAGAACAAUGACAAAAGAUGAGUCAAAAAUGAUCCGAAUUAUCAGGCCUGGUGAGUAGGAAUGAAUGAAGUUACAGUCACAAGAGUAUAGCAGUCUUUCAAUGCAGAUGAUAAUAGCUAGACAGUGUAGGUUCAAAUCCCUGCACAAGCUACUUAACCCCUUUGUACUUCAGUUUCCUUAUCUGUAUGGUGGUGAGGGUAAUUACUGUACCCACUUUAUAGUAAUUCUGAGUUAAUUAUAUAUAAGAAUUCUGUGUUAAUACAUGUAAGAGUCUUAGAAGAGUGCAGGGCACAAAGUCAGUGCUAUGUGGGUAAGUGUUGGCAAUUGUUAAGUUUAUAUAUUGAACAUCUUCUGGGUGCAAGAUGAGGAACUUCAAAAGAUCUGUCUGGUAGGGUUCCUUCCACAAUUUUUAUUGGCAAGUUCUUCUAAAUCCUCUCCAUUCCAACAGUUUUUCAUAAUCAUUUUUUUUUAACCAAUUUAAGGAAAUAAUCUUCCCUUUCUCUGUACAUCUUUUCUCAUAGGCCACCAUUUUCUAUUGGGCAUCAUAUCUGACUGUUCAUUAAACCAGGAAGUAUAUGUAACUCUGAAAACAAUGACUUAGAGUGAAAACAUCUAAGGUAACAGUGCUUAGAUAAUGAAAAACCUGGUUUGCUUUGCCCAGAAAAGACUAAAAUAUUUAUAUGCCAUUUUCCAAUGGCAAUCUUUACAUGCUCUGAGGGUUUUUAAUUAUGAUCACCAAUUGUUAAAACUAUCAAAAGCACAUAUAAAAACAGCCAUGUAGACUCUAAACAGAUUAGCUAUAAUGUGGCAUUUUUAAAAAUUGAGCUGCUUUAACUGAACAUAGCAUUUGAAAAUAAUAAAAAAGUGUUGAAAAUGUAGUCCAAAAAAAAUGGUCACUCAUCAACUUUCUCUUUUUUUUUUUUUGUCUUUUUAGGGCCACACCCUCGGCAUAUGGAGGUUCUCAGGCUAGGGGUCUAAUGGGAGCUGUAGCCGCUGACCUAUGACACAGCCACAGCAAUGCCAGAUCCAAGCCAUGUCUGCAACCUACACCACAGCACAGGACAAGGCUGGAUCCUUAAUCCACUGGGCAAGGCCAGGUAUCAAACCCACAACCUCAUGGUUACUAGUCAGUUUCAUUUCCUCUGUGCCACAACGGGAACUCCCCUCAUCGGCACUUUGAAUUCAAAAACAGAGGUUGAAAGUGCACCAUUAUUUACAGGCCUAGUGUCUUUGUUGUGGGUCUGUGGGCUGCCUUUUUGUCUUUAGUGGUAAAGAAUCAAAAACAUAACAUUAUCACAUUUCUGCUUUUCGGAAAUAACCAUGAGAUUAAAUUAGAAAAUCUUUUUGAAAUUCUCGGAGACUUGAAGUGUCAGUAAGUUUCAACAAAAAACUAAUAUUUAAGUUAGUAAGUAAAGAUGUGCGAUGCUGAAAAAUUAUAUACUUAGGAUUUACAUCUGCUAAAGAGAGAAUCCAGAAAAUAGUUUUAGCUUUUAGUAAAAAGUUAUACCUUUUAAAUUUUAAAAAACUUUGGUCACAAUUCUAAAUUAGUAGCUAAAAAGAUGUUCGGGAACCUAAGUGAAAUACAAGGAAUGGCUGCAUUUUAAAAGAAACUGCAAAAAGAGAAACACCAAUGCAAAAUCUUCUCCUGACUCUCUUGGGCUCACAAAAAGAAAUCCACAAUAUUUUCUCUGUCAGGAUUAGUUUUAAGAUAAAAUCUUAAAAAAAAUAGCUAUGUGCCUUAGGGAAUUUCACUGACUUUUCCUGUUCCUAAACAUUCCUCUCUUCUUAAAAGGACUUUCAGUGGGGUUAGUUUCUAAAUUAAUCCAGACAUUUGAGGGCAGUUGGGCCCUCUGCACUUGAAUAAUUAAGUGAGAACCAUUAGAGGAAAGGCUAUACAUUAGUAACUUGGAGGAACCAAAGUGGAUGAACCACUUUUCAGAACCUGCAUGACAAUUUUGAAAAUUAAACCCAGUUAAUAGAAAAAAAUGCUAAAUCAAUGGCCAUAAAAUUUAAUGGGUUUAUAGCAGCCUUAACACAGUAGGACUGAAUUAUCAUGUUAAUUUAAUUUCCAUUUCUAAAUGAACCAGAAGGCACAAUAAAGGUCAAUUAACCAGCUACCUUCCCUGUCUUCUUUUUCUUUUACUGCCGGUUUUAAAUCACAUUCAGCCCCAAAGCACUCACACUGCUUCUGGAAACUCAUUAGUUUUUCUUGAAAUUAAAACAAAAAAAGAAAAAAAGGAAGAAGAAACAAAAACUAACAACUAACCAUGUGCUGAGAACAACCACUGAGAAUGUGCUACAAUUACUGGGAUAUAUGUAUUCAAAGAAAAAUCUUUUACUCUUGUCACAUUGAGGCUACAAACCUAAUUAAACCAAGCCUAGGGAAACACACAAGUUAAAGGUCCCGAUUAUAGUGUUUACCGAGUGUUCAUCUACACUGAAAAACCUGUGUAUGCUACUCUUAACAUUUAUGAGGCGAAUAAGGAAGGGAACUCCAUCUGUGUAAUGUGAGUCUGUUGUUAGUACAGUGAGAACCUCAAGAUUUGUACAGCCUGCAUUUUUCACAUUGAAAUGUGUUACUUUAUAUAAUAGGUUUUAUUUCUUCAAAAAAAGAAUAGAAAAAAAAGAAGUCAGUUUUGUCCUCUUCACCAUCAAGAAAAUUCAGUCCUUGUUUUUGGUGUACUUAAUUUAUUGUUGCUAUGGAUUGCCUGUAGUUUGAUACCUUAUCAAAUCACCAAAUAUUCUGGUCUUUUCCAGUGGUAC